ACACCAGACGAUUCUUGAAGAGGUCCCCGGAGAACAAAACGGCCCACCUUCUGCCGGUGAUUAUGCUGGCAAUGGCGACGACGACGACGACGACACUACCUUGUAUCAGGGAGGUGACCUGCUGCAGAACAGGCCGACAAGUAUAUUUGAGAACGACUUGGCCUGGGCCGGGAAAGCCAUGCAGCAGCUGCUUCGGAUCCUCGGUUUCCAGAUCGGCACAACAAGAACAUGAUAUUCAGCUUCAGCUACCGUCGUGUAUAUGUUGCAAACCUGCUGUUUUGAAGGAUCACCUAUGCCUUCAACUCACUUUUCAACGCUGAAAGAAGCCUCAGAGCUGAGGAUUGUAACUGAAACUCCAGUGACAGCAGCAAAC
rnacentral:lncRNA from 1 species